rnacentral:rRNA from 1 species
GAUGAACGCUGGCGGCGUGCCUAAUACAUGCAAGUCGAGCGAACAGACGAGGAUCUUGCUCCUCUGACGUUAGCGGCGGACGGGUGAGUAACACGUGGAUAACCUACCUAUAAGACUGGGAUAACUUCGGGAAACCGGAGCUAAUACCGGAUAAUAUAUUGAACCGCAUGGUUCAAUAGUGAAAGACGGGUUUGCUGUCACUUAUAGAUGGAUCCGCGCCGCAGUAGCUAGUUGGUAAGGUAACGGCUUACCAAGGCAACGAUGCGUAGCCGACCUGAGAGGGUGAUCGGCCACACUGGAACUGAGACACGGUCCAGCCUCCUACGGGAGGCAGCAGUAGGGACUCUUCCGCAGUGGGCGAAAGCCUGACGGAGCAACGCCGCGUGAGUGAUGAAGGUCUUCGGAUCGUAAAACUCUGUUAUUAGGGAAGAACAAAUGUGUAAGUAACUAUGCACGUCUUGACGGUACCUCAUCAGAAAGCCACGGCUAACUACGUG